rnacentral:rRNA from 1 species
GAUGAACGCUAGCAGGAGGCUUAAUACAUGCAAGUCGUACGGUAACAGGUGUAGCAAUACAUGCUGACGAGUGGCGCACGGGUGAGGAACGCGUACACAAUCUGCCUCUGACUGGGAGAUAGCCCUGGGAAACUAGGAUUAAUACCCCAUAACAUUACGGAAAGGCAUCUUUCUGUGAUUAAACCUCCGGGGGUCAGAGAUGAGUGUGCGUCUGAUUAGGAGUUGGCGGGGUAACGGCCCACCAAGCCUGCGAUCAGUAGCUGGCGUGAGAGCGCGACCAGCCACACGGGAACUGAGACACGGUCCC